GACGAACGCUGGCGGCGUGCUUAACACAUGCAAGUCGAGCGGAGCGGCGAACGGGUGAGUAACGCGUGAGUAACUGCCCCCCUCUCUGGGAUAACAGUAGGAUACGGCUGCUAAUACCGGUUAGUGGGGGGGGACUCGCGUCCUAUCAGCUUGUUGGUGGGGUAGUGACGUACCAAGGCGACGACGGGUAGCCGGCCUGAGAGGGUGACCGGCCACAUUGGGCUGAGAUACGGCCCAGCGUCCGACGGGAGGCAGCAGUGGGGGAUAUUGCACAAUGGGCGAAAGCCUGAUGCAGCGGCGCCGAGUGGGGGAUGAGGGCUUUCGGGUUGUAAAACUCUUUAGCAAUCGAAAGGGUAGGUGGAGAAGAAGCGCCGGCUAACUACGUGCCAGCAGCCGCGGUAAUAC
rnacentral:rRNA from 1 species